UAAGAAAGUCAGGAAGUUCCCAUGCCGCCAGAUUUCCCCAAAAGGACAAUAGUGAGAAACAUACUGUACUACAACAAGCCAUCCAACUACUGAAAGUGACUUCAAUCUGACUUGGAAAAUGUUGCGGUUUCUCUUGCUGUGCUUGAUUUUCGCAACGUCAGAUGCUGACUAUGAAGACUACAGCCCUAUGUACGAGCAGACUGAAGGAUCCGGGGGUAUAAUUGAGGAAGACGACGAGGAAUUGCCCGGGCCAGUUAGUUAUAAAUAUGAUACGGGAACUUGGUCGGAAUCUUCAAAUGGCAGUAAACAAACACAAGAAGGGUCCUCCAUGAUAAUCAUCAUAGCAGCAGUGAGUGUGGUUGCCCUGGCCAUCGCGGCCGUCGUAGCUAUUUUUCUCUUCAAACGUCACUUGCAAAGCCGGGAACAAGGGUAAGAACUGGUCUCAUUUAAUUAUGAAUGACGCAUGCUUAUAGGAAUACAAGACUAAUGGGGCAUAG
ensembl:lncRNA